rnacentral:rRNA from 1 species
UACGGAGGGGACUAGCGUUGUUCGGAUUUACUGGGCGUAAAGAGCGUGUAGGCGGCCAAGCAGGUCCGUUGUGAAAACUGGAGGCUUAACCUCCAGACGUCGACGGAAACCGCGUGGCUAGAGUCCGGAAGAGGAGAGUGGAAUUCCUGGUGUAGCGGUGAAAUGCGCAGAUAUCAGGAAGAACACCAAUGGCGAAGGCGGUUUCCUGGAGCUUUGCUGACGCUGAUGCGCGAAAGCGUGGGGAGCGAUCCGG